rnacentral:rRNA from 1 species
UACGGAGGGGGCUAGCGUUGUUCGGAAUUACUGGGCGUAAAGCGCACGUAGGCGGCUUUGUAAGUUAGAGGUGAAAGCCCAGAGCUCAACUCUGGAAUUGCCUUUAAGACUGCAUCGCUAGAACACGGGAGAGGUGAGUGGAAUUCCGAGUGUAGAGGUGAAAUUCGUAGAUAUUCGGAAGAACACCAGUGGCGAAGGCGGCUCACUGGACCGUUGUUGACGCUGAGGUGCGAAAGCGUGGGGAGCAAACAGGAUUAGAAACCCUAGUAGU